rnacentral:lncRNA from 1 species
GUCUAUACAAGGAAAGCAGUGAGGCCUGACUUGCAAAGUUGAUGGGUGGAGCAAAUCAGUGUUUCUGUAAAAUUCUCUGGCACAUAGUAGGUGCCCAGUCAGUAUUGUCUGGCUGAUGUUGUUCUGGGUCACCAAAUGCACCGACCUUCAAAGCCAGAGGGACUUGCCUGCCCAGCCCCUUCCCUGCUCACAUGUCCCUUCCACUAAGCGCUCACCUAGCCAGCUCCGGGCAGGAAGCUUCCCUGCUUGGCUGAUCAGAGGCGUCUGGCUGAUCAGAGCUGCAGUUGGUUGCAGCUCAUUCUGGAUGGGACAUCCUGCCAAGUCAGGCCAUGUUCUCCUACACUUUGCUAAUCCGAGUGAAAGUAACUAGGGCCCUUUCCUUCUGGCCUUUCCCCUGGACAUCGUCGAGAGGGCCACUGCACGGGAACGCAGGGUGCGGUGUCAUGAGUCAUUUGCUGGUGUGUCUUUGUGGCCACACUUGUCUGCAGGCUUUUGCUAGAACAGCCCCCACCCCCACCCCUGGGCCCCGUCGCCAAAAUAACCCAACAACAUCAAGCCAAAGAGAGAGUCAUCUGGGGACAGGCUCUUGUUCUGAGUCCUUGGGCCCCAGUCUGAGGUCACAGAGUAGGCUGUCUGCUUCCAGGAGGCAGUGGGCUCUAGCCUGGCGAAACAGAGCUGGCCUUUGAGACUUCCCGAGAAGAAUCUUAGAAACUUUCCAGCCAUCUGCCCAAUACCUUGAGUUUUGGGUACCAUUCCUCUUGAGGCCAUGAACCAAUAGCGUUGGUGUCAGCUGGGGGCUGGUUGAAAAUGUAGACUCUGAGACCUCAUAACAAAACUACUGAGUCAGAACUUACAUUUUAGGAGUUCCUGUUGUGGCUCAGAGGGUUAAGAACCCGACUAGUAUCCUGAGGAUGUGGGUUCUAUCCCUGGCCUCCCUCACUCAGUGGGUUAAGAUCUGGUGGCACCGAAAGCUUCAGCAUAGAUUGCAGAUGCGGCUCAAGAUCCUACAUUGCUGUGGCUGUGCUGGAGGCCGGCAGCUGCUGCUCCAAUUUGACUCCUGGCCUCGGAACCUCCCUAUGCUGCAAGUGCAACCCUAAAAAAAAAGAACUUACAUUUCAGCAAGACGGCUAAGAGUUUUGGGUGCUCGUUAAAGGUUGAGAAGCACAGAUUGGGGUUUAGAUCACGGUUCUCAACCACAGACACACAUUAGAAUCACCUUGAAAAACUGUAAAAACUGUGCUGGUUCCCUAGGUCCUAAUCCAGACCACUGAGUCAGAAUCACUGGGGAUAAGAUCUGAUCAUAUGGAAGUUCCCAGGCUAGGGGUUGACUCAGAGCUGCUGCUGCUGGCCUGUGCCACAGCCACCACCAUGUAGGAUCUAAGCUAUGUCUGCAACCUUCAUAGCAGCUCACAGCAACACCAGAUCCUUAACCCACUGAACGGGGCCAGGGAUGGAACCUGUAUCCUCUUGGAUGCUAGUUGGGUUUGUUACGGCUGAGGCAUAAUGGGAACUCCCAGACCCUUGGCUUUGGGCUGGAUGGCCCUGAAUGAGAUGAUCAGAUGGUAAUAGUUGCUGUGUAUUGAGCUCCUACUUACAUGAAAGGCUUUUAUCUAGAAUCUUCUUUCCAAACCUGAAAGGUGCCAGGCCUCUCACUGUCUUACAUGAGAAAACUGAGGCUCGGAGAGGUGAAGCUAGGCGCCUAAGGCUGUAUACGUAUUGGAACUGGAACUGUCUGCCUGGAAGCUUCUUUUGCCAUUACCUCAUAGUGACUGGAGCUUGUAAUGGUUUGGAAGGUCCUGGUUCUCGUUGGAAAAUCUGGCAGGGGAUUCUUUUCUGUCUCGGUGUCCAUGGUACCUUCAGACUGUGUGGUUUUAGGACCGUUCAGUUGGAGGAGAAGGACAGCAGCUUUCCAUCUUCAGCUUCAUGUAUCUCUUAGACUGAGGGGCUGGGGUGUGUGUAUGGGGGUGAGGUCAGUGACAGACAAGUGGCACAUGAAUAAUGGAAAAGUCUUCAGGAGAAGGAGGAAUUUCCAAAGGUCACAGAGACUCCGACUCAGCUGUAUUCAUUUCAAGCUGGCUUUGCCCGAGUCGCUUUAUCCCUGUGGCCCCAGGCUCCCUUCUUCCCCUGGAAGAACUCGGGGGUGGGGGUGGGGGGAGCACUCUUGCUGCUCUUUCUGGUUCUGCAAAUCUGGGUUCUAAGAUCAAAGUGGGGAAACUGGACCAGAAUGAGCCAAACAUAGACCCCUGGAGCAGCUGGGCGGCAGCGUGGGGCCAGGUGG